rnacentral:rRNA from 1 species
CCUACGGAGAGCAGCAGUCGAGAAUCAUUCACAAUGGGGGAAACCCUGAUGCUGCGACGCCGCGUGGGUGAAUGAAUGUCUUCGGAUUGUAAACCCCUGUCAUGUGGAAGCAAAUUAAAAAGAUAGUACCACAAGACGCAGAGACCUCUAACUCUGUGCCAGCAGCCGCGGGAAUACAGAGGUCUCAAUCGUUGUUCGUAAUCACUGGGCGUAAAGCGUGCGUAGGCUGUUUCGUAAGUCGUAUGUGAAAGGCUCGGGCUCAACCCGCGGACGGCAGCUGAUACUGCGAGACUAGAGUAAUGGAGGGGGAAGCGGAAUUCCCGGUGUAGCAGUGAAAUGCGUAGAUA